rnacentral:rRNA from 1 species
GACGAACCGUACAAACGUUAUUCGGAAUCACUGGGCUUAAAGGGUGCGUAGGCGGCGUAGAAAGUAGGGUGUGAAAUCCCUCGGCUCAACCGAGGAACUGCGCCCUAAACUACUAUGCUCGAGGGAGGUAGAGGUGAGCGGAACUUAGGGUGGAGCGGUGAAAUGCGUUGAUAUCCUAAGGAACACCGGUGGCGAAAGCGGCUCACUGGACCUCUUCUGACGCUGAGGCACGAAAGCUAGGGGAGCAAACGGG